GACGAACGCUGGCGGCGUGCUUAACACAUGCAAGUCGAACGGAAAGGCCCUGCUUUUGUGGGGUGCUCGAGUGGCGAACGGGUGAGUAACACGUGAGUAACCUGCCCUUUACUUUGGGAUAACUUCAGGAAACUGGGGCUAAUACCGGAUAGGAGCUCCUGCUGCAUGGUGGGGGUUGGAAAGUUUCGGCGGUUGGGGAUGGACUCGCGGCUUAUCAGCUUGUUGGUGGGGUAUUGGCUUACCAAGGCUUUGACGGGUAGCCGGCAUGAGAGGGUGACCGGGAAAAUUGGGACUGAGAUACGGCGCAGACGCCAACGGGAGGCAGCAGUGGGGAAUAGUGCACAAUGGGCGGAAGCCUGAUGCAGAAACGCCGCGUGCGGGAUGACGGCCUUCGGGUUGUAAAACGAUUUCGCAUGUGACGAAGAGUGAGUGACGGUAAUGGGUAAAGAAGCAACGGCUAACUACGUG
rnacentral:rRNA from 1 species